GGCGAAAGCCUGAUGCAGCAACGCCGCGUGAAGGAAGAAGGGUUUCGGCUCGUAAACUUCUAUCAACAGGGACGAAAAAAAUGACGGUACCUGAAUAAGAAGCCCCGGCUAACUACGUGCCAGCAGCCGCGGUAAUACGUAGGGGGCAAGCGUUAUCCGGAAUUACUGGGUGUAAAGGGAGAGUAGGCGGGAUAUUAAGUCUGUUUUAAAAGUUCGGGGCUCAACCCCGUGAUGGAAUGGAAACUAAUAUUCUUGAGUGCAGGAGAGGAAAGUGGAAUUCCCAGUGUAGCGGUGAAAUGCGUAGAUAUUGGGAGGAACACCAGUGGCGAAGGCGACUUUCUGGACUGUGUCUGACGCUGAGGCGCGAAAGCCAGGGGAGUGAACGGGAUUAGAUACCCCGGUAAUCCUGGCCGUAAACGAUGGGUACUAGGUGUAGGAGGUAUCGACCCCUUCUGUGCCGCAGUUAACACAAUAAGUAUUCCGCCUGGGGAGUAC
rnacentral:rRNA from 1 species